AAUCGACAACUCCAGCAAUCCAUCUCCAUGUAUGGGGACCAAACCUGCUGAUUUCUAUUGGAAUAUCGCACUAAAGGACUUUGACGACAAUAAAGCUGAGCAGGGAUCAAAGGACUCAUUUGAUUGACGAUCACGUUUCACAACAGAGCUUCCCUGGCCAAGACUCUGUAUCGCCCAACGCCGCCAUCCGCCCAUCCCAACUAUUGACUUGAAGGGUAUCGACCUUUGGUGAGCAUCCCGACUAUUGACUUGGAGAUUGGAGAGAUGAGCAGCAGGCAGCAGCAGCAGCACUGACAGCGACCUUCGGCGAGCAACAGUAGCACCAUUUGACAUUUCGACUCAUCGAGUAGUUCACGAGCACUCUUUUAGAACUGAACGAUGGUGAAUGUAAAAAAGAUGACCAAAUACAAGUAGUUUCUCACCUCUCUCAACCAUCUCGAUUUGAAUCUAAUCCUCUAUGGUGAUGUUUCAAAAUCAACCUAUUGAUAUGGAGUCUCUGUUGCAGUGUUGUGUUGUCUAUGUACUUUGAACUUUAAAGAAUUAGUAAUUGCUUAUGAGUUAGAAUAAGAUAUG
rnacentral:lncRNA from 1 species